UACGAAGGGGGCUAGCGUUGUUCGGAUUUACUGGGCGUAAAGCGCACGUAGGCGGAUUGUUAAGUCAGGGGUGAAAUCCUGGAGCUCAACUCCAGAACUGCCUCUGAUACUGGCAAUCUUGAGUCCGGAAGAGGUGAGUGGAACUCCUAGUGUAGAGGUGGAAUUCGUAGAUAUGUGGAGGAAUACCGAUGGCGAAGGCAGCCCCCUGGGAUAACACUGACGCUCAUGCACGAAAGCGUGGGGAGCAAACAGG
rnacentral:rRNA from 1 species